rnacentral:rRNA from 1 species
UAGGGAAUAUUGGACAAUGGGGGCAACCCUGAUCCAGCCAUGCCGCGUGAGUGAAGAAGGCCCUCGGGUUGUAAAGCUCUUUUGUCCGGAAAGAAAAGCUUCGGGUUAAUACCCCGGGGUUCUGACGGUACCGGAAGAAUAAGCACCGGCUAACUUCGUGCCAGCAGCCGCGGUAAUACGAAGGGUGCAAGCGUUACUCGGAAUUACUGGGCGUAAAGCGUGCGUAGGUGGUUGUUUAAGUCUGAUGUGAAAGCCCUGGGCUCAACCUGGGAAUGGCAUAUGAAACUGGGCAGCUAGGGUGGCGUAGAGGGUAGUGGAAUUCCCGGUGUAGCAGUGAAAUGCGUAGAGAUCGGGAGGAACAUCUGUGGCGAAGGCGACUGCCUGGACCAGCACUGACACUGAGGCACGAAAGCGUGGGGAGCAAACA